GCCCGUUUAGCUCAGUGGUAGAGCGCGCCACUCGUAAACGCCCGUUUAAGUGCCCGUAAAUGGUGAGGUCGGUUGAUCAAUCCAGCCAAUGGGCA
rfam:Phlebia centrifuga strain FBCC195 PHLCENscaffold_2648, whole genome shotgun sequence.